UUGCUGGUCUGAUCAGUGGCGAACGCUUAGUAACACGUGAGCAACCUACCCCAGACUCUGGAAUAACCAUGGGAAACGAUGGCUAAUACCGGAUACGAGACACACACGCAUGUGUGGUGUCUGGAAAGAUUUAUCGGUCUGGGAUGGGCUCGCGGCCUAUCAGCUUGUUGGUGGGGUAGUGGCCUACCAAGGCGACGACGGGUAGCCGGCCUGAGAGGGCGACCGGCCACACUGGGACUGAGAUACGGCCCAGACUCCUACGGGAGGCAGCAGUGGGGAAUAUUGCACAAUGGGCGCAAGCCUGAUGCACGCGACGCCGCGUGAGGGAUGACGGCCUUCGGGUUGUAAACCUCUUUCAGCAGGGAAGAAGCGCAAGUGACGGUACCUGCAGAAGAAGCGCCGGCUAACUACGUGCCAGCACGCCGCGGUAAUACGUAGGGCGCAAGCGUUGUCCGGAAUUAUUGGGCGUAAAGAGCUCGUAGGCGGUUUGUCGCGUCUGCUGUGAAAACCUAAGGCUCAACCUUGGGCUUGC
rnacentral:rRNA from 1 species